rnacentral:rRNA from 1 species
UACGUAGGGUGCAAGCGUUAUUCGGAAUUACUGGGCGUAAAGCGUGCGCAGGCGGUUUUGUAAGUCGGCUGUGAAAUCCCCGGGCUCAACCUGGGAACUGCAUCUGUGACUGCAUAGCUAGAGUACGGUAGAGGGGGAUGGAAUUCCGCGUGUAGCAGUGAAAUGCGUAGAUAUGCGGAGGAACACCGAUGGCGAAGGCAAUCCCCUGGACCUGUACUGACGCUCAUGCACGAAAGCGUGGGGAGCAAACAGG